UACGGAGGGUGCAAGCGUUAUCCGGAUUCACUGGGCUUAAAGGGUGCGUAGGUGGGCUUGUAAGUCAGUGGUGAAAUCUCCGGGCUUAACCCGGAAACUGCCAUUGAUACUAUAGGUCUUGAAUCAUCUGGAGGUGAGCGGAAUAUGUCAUGUAGCGGUGAAAUGCUUAGAUAUGACAUAGAACACCGAUUGCGAAGGCAGCUCACUACGGAUGUAUUGACACUGAGGCACGAAAGCGUGGGGAGCAAACAGG
rnacentral:rRNA from 1 species